GACGAACGCUGGCGGCGUGCCUAAUACAUGCAAGUCGAACGCACAGUUUAUACCGUAGCUUGCUACACCAUAGACUGUGAGUUGCGAACGGGUGAGUAACGCGUAGGUAACCUGCCUGGUAGCGGGGGAUAACUAUUGGAAACGAUAGCUAAUACCGCAUAAUAUUAAUUAUUGCAUGAUAAUUAAUUGAAAGGUGCAAUUGCACCACUACCAGAUGGACCUGCGUUGUAUUAGCUAGUAGGUGAGGUAACGGCUCACCUAGGCGACGAUACAUAGCCGACCUGAGAGGGUGAUCGGCCACACUGGGACUGAGACACGGCCCAGACUCCUACGGGAGGCAGCAGUAGGGAAUCUUCGGCAAGGGACGAAAGUCUGACCGAGCAACGCCGCGUGAGUGAAGAAGGGUGUCGGAUCGUAAAGCUCGGUUGUAAGAGAAGAACGGGUGUGAGAGUGGAAAGUUCACACUGUGACGGUACCUUACCAGAAAGGGACGGCUAACUACGUG
rnacentral:rRNA from 1 species